AGAAACGGGGCACGGGAAGUUUCAGUGGGAGGAGCCCUGAUUUACCUGCAACAGAACAUCAACUAGCAUGGCUGCGGUAUCAAGAAAGUCUCAUUGGACCGAAGAAAUGGAGGAAAAAUUUGUGGAACAUUGGCAGGAAUACCAGUGACUAUUUGACGUUUCAUCUGAACUGUACCACAACCGGGUGGAGAAAGAGAAGAGUUGGAGAGAAAUUGCCAAUUCUCUUGAACAGUCAGAGAUGGAUAAAGACUAUGGCUCCCUGCUCAGCACCCUCAAGAGGAGGCGGUAGCUGAAUGCUGAUGAGCUUAGGUUCAUAGCAGAGGAGGAUGUGGCUCAUGAGGGAAUGAGCAAACAGGAGGAAGAUCUUCUGGAUCAGGAACCAUUGCAGGAAGACAAGGACCACGAGGAGAUGGAGAAUUAGAUGGAAUCUGAUCCCCAGCCAAGACCAUCAACUGGGCUGUAGUUGCUGAGACAUGCAGCUUUACAAACCAUCAGGAGUGGGAGCUCGUCCUAAAUUGCCCGUCAUAUUCCAGCUACCAAGGAGCUUGGAAGGAGGUGGCCCCCGAUGAAUUUUACAAAUUUCUUGGGUUCCUCAUUUACAUGGGGUUUUCAAUUCUCCCUGAUUCCCAUCAUCAUUGGGGAACCAAGUCACAAGUUUUUCACAAACUGAAAAAAAUCAUUUUUGGUUUUUGUUUUGGAAAUUAUGUCACAUCCAUUCUUCAAUUUUGCAAGUAUAAAUUCAAUCAAGUAUAAAAUCACCCUAAAUGGUCACCCUAAAAUGGUAAUACUUUCAUAAUUUACUCACCAUCAUGCCUUCUCAAUAUCGUAUUGCAUUGUUGGCAGAGACUAUUUGCACUUAUUUUCAAUCAAGUAUAAAAUCACCCUAAAUGUUCACCCUAAAAUGGUAAUACUCUCAUCAUUGACUCACCUGCAUACCUUCUCAAAAUCGUAUUGCAUUGUUAGAAGAGACAAUUUGCACUCUGUGCAAAAAACUAUGGAUUCUAACUAUAACUGUAGAUUAUUAUAAUAAAUAGCAAUUAAAAGUAUGUUCUUUAGGGGCGUCACUGUAGCAUUUUUUUUUUUUUUUUUUUUUUGGUGUUUAUUUAUUUUAUCACAUUCACACCAUUUAUUUAUUUUAUCACAUUAUUGCUAUUGCAAUAUUGGGGCAGUUUGUCAUACAUUUCUGUGUUUCCAUCAGUCUUGGAGUGCAAAUAGCCAUGCAGUGGGGCAGGUGCUAUUCACAUAUAGUGCAAAUAGUCCCUCCGAACUGUUUGUCUUCUGCUUCUUUUUUUUAAGAAUAUCUCAGCUGUUUUUUGUCCAAACAAUGUAAGUCCAUGGAAUCCAAACCUUUCAAGCUUCGAGGACAGAAUGGCAGAAAAAAAAGUAAUCCAUACAACUUGAUUGGUUUAAUGCAUGUCUUCUGAAGCGAUAGAAUUGCUAUGGGUGAAAACAAAGCAAAAAUGUAGUCCUCAUUAAAAAAAAGCUUAAUGCACAUCCUCCCAUGCACAUUCAUGAUAGAAGUUUAUUCACGAGUAGGCUACUCACACUUUAUGUGUGCACAAGGAUGCAUGAACAAACGUCUCUUAUGCAUGUAUGUCUCUUUCAGAGCUUGAAAGUUUUGAACCCUGUUGACUUAAACUGAGUAUGUUUACACAGGCGGUGAUAAUCAAACUAUUGCAAGUUUAUUAGUCAACAAGGAUAUCUAGUGGCCACUUUAAGAAUUGUACCACAUUGAUGAGUGUAGUAGCCAUUUUGUUUGUUAGACUACAUAGAGCUGUUCAGUUUGUAGUCCACAAACCUGGAAGAGAAUUCACCAUGGGUUCCCUCUGGAUUUUCCUAUG